UCAAUGCCUCCUUUUAGACUUUUGGACACACCCUCAUUAGAUCGCUACCGCAGAGGUCAGAUAACUCGAAGUGGUGGCUCAGAUGAAUCCUCUUCACAUGUGUGUGGUUACUUUUGCCACCGCCUACCUGCCGUCGCUUUCAGCUGCUUCCAACUCCCAUGAACUUAAGAGACGGCUUAUCCUCUCUCCCCUUGCCAACAUGAUGAACAGCUUCUCAUCUUUAAAAGGGAUCCAUUAAUCCUUCCUCUCACAAAUGUUCAGAUCAGCCUGCGACCAGUCUCCUCUCUAUGUGUCUUUCGCUUAGUUUAUGCUGUUUCUCCCCUCUCUCUCUCUCUCUCUCUCUCUCUCUCUCUCUCUCUCUCUCUUUCUCCCCCUCUCCCCCUCUUCUUUCUUGUUCCUAGUACAUGCAUAUGCAGGCUUGAUUGUUGUGUUCUUCCAUCUUUGAUAUGCUUCGUGAUGAUUUAUGCUGGUUUUGUUCCUCAGCUGAUUAAAGGAAAAAAAUUUCUUUUUCCUUAUUUUUCGGGACCUGCAGAAAUGGGGUCUACUCUUUUCUUUUGUUGUUGUUUUUCUCCGUUUCACGUCCGAUUUGUUUUUCUCUCAGUACUUACACUGCUGGUUGAUGGAUGGAACUAUUGAAAGUUCAUCCUUUCUCUCUCAAAGGAGGCUAUCACAUCAACACUGUUCUUUGUAUGAAAGUCUAGGGUUUCUAAGAAUCUUUGGAGGAGAUGACAUGCACUUUGUAUCAUGCCAUCAUCUAUGAUAUCUCUCCUUGAUUUCUGAUCAUGUUUUCGGGAGUGUAUUUGUUGAGCUGCCUUUUCCCUGUGGACAUCUGUGAAGCUUUGCCCGGUGGAGGAUAAAAAUUAGGGUUUCGACGAGCCCCAUCUACGGUAUAGGUUUUCUGAGCUCUUGGUCUCUGUAACCUCCAUCGCUGAGAAGAAUUGUGAAGACACAGGCAAGACUGCAAAAAGAUUCUGCUUUGCAAUCUAUGCACCUUGAAUCUGAGUAAGUAAUACGAAGAAGAAGAAGAAGAAGAAGAAGAAGAAGAAGAAGAAGAAGAAGAAGAAUAAUAAUAAUAAUAAAUCUUUGUUUUUUAUAAGAAUAUGGAAAUUUUCUUUCAUUUUUGAGGAAAACCAAGAAGAACAAACUCAAUUUGAUGAUGUCUUUAACUGAUCAUGGGAACACAUCUUCUGUCUUGUGUUUUAUGUGUGUGGAUGACACAAAAGAACCUGAGAAAUGUGUCUGAGAGAGCUUCCUUCAGUCCACUCAUGGAUGGCUCUGGGGUUUGAAUCAACUGCCGACUCAUUCAUUCAAACACUCAGUAGAAAGCUGAGCUACUCUGUGAAUGAGUGAAUGAUGCGGGAGAUUAUUCUCUCUCUUCCAUUCCAUACUUGGACUGAAGGGAGCUCCCUCUUUCUCAUCUUCUAAGCUCUUCUUUACCCCGUUGAUCCUUCGAUCCACUGACUCAUUCCACCUCCUCCUUAUCUUCUUUGUUUUUGGCUCUCUCCCCUUGAGUUGCAGGAAGCAACAUUCCAGGAAUUCAGCAGGUAGCGAUAGAAAAGCUCCCCUAUCCUCAUCCGAGCUUAAUAUAAAUCCUCCCUUUCAUUAUGCUUGAGUGGGAACUUGAAAUCAUACUUAUGCGUUGUAGCUUUUUGCAGCCCCUCUCACUUAUGGGAAACCUUCAACGUGCUCCUGCCAUUUGAUCUCUACCAUCUUGAAACUUGAGCCGGGUAUAAUUAAAACCUGCACUUGUAGAUUCUUUUUCGAGGCCUCGCACUGAUGUCUCCACGACAGUAGCACAGAUCUGAAAAGAUUCAGGAUGCUCCUCGUGGAUCAACAGUGAAAGUACAGUUUCAUUCAGACCUACAACUUAAUUUAAAUGCUAUCAGUGCCGUCUGCAUAUGGUUCUUCAGAAUAUUUUUUCUAUUUCUACAAGAUGCACUCUCUCUCUCUCUCUCUCUCUCUCUAUAUAUAUGUGGAAAUUAAUUGUCACGGCUCUCUUCAGAGCAUUGCCUGGAAAGGUGGUGUUGUUUCAGCCAGAUCAUGGCGGUGGUAUUUGUGAUUGGAAGUGAUGAAAGUACACAAUACUUCACUAAUUUACUCACUGGAUACUGAGGUGUGUCCUCUGCAGAAUUCACAUAUUCCCUUGAAGAAGACCAUGGGAUAGGCUUGCAAUGGCCGCGAGUGUGCUCCUUUUAUAUAAGGGAUGUUGCCAAAGAUAGAAAGAGAGGUCAAUGUAAUGCCAAAUCUCCACAUAGUUUUGCAAUGGAAAGACUUACCCUUAUGGGAAAACGUCUUUAUAUAAGUAAAGCUUUAUUUUCAUUA